rnacentral:rRNA from 1 species
AGGUUAAGCUAAUAAGGGCGCACGGAGGAUGCCUAGGCGCCAGGAGCCUAAGAAGGACGCGGCGAACAGCGAAAUUGCCUCGGGGAGCCGUAAGCAGGCUUUGAUCCGGGGAUGUCCGAAUGGGGAAACCCGGCUGGGGUCAUGCCCAGUCACCAUGCAGUGAAUACAUAGCUGCAUCGGAGGCACACCCAGGGAACUGAAACAUCUAAGUACCUGGAGGAGAAGAAAACAAGAGUGAUUCCGUCAGUAGCGGCGAGCGAAAGCGGAUUAGCCCAAACCAGAGAGCUUGCUCUCUGGGGUUGUGGGACGUCUCACAUGGAGUUACAAAGGAGCAGGUUAGGCGAAGAGGUCUGGAAAGGCCCGGCAUAGAAGGUAAAAGCCCUGUAGCCGAAAGUCUGCUCCCUCCGAGACGGAUCCCGAGUACCGCGGGACACGAGAAACCCCGUGGGAAUCCGGCAGGACCAUCUGCCAAGGCUAAAUACUCCCUGGCGACCGAUAGUGAAGCAGUACCGUGAGGGAAAGGUGAAAAGCACCGCGGGAGCGGAGUGAAAAAGAACCUGAAACCGUGCGCUUACAAGAAGUCAGAGCCCGAUCUAGGGGUGAUGGCGUGCCUUUUGUAGAAUGAACCGGCGAGUUACGUUUACGUGCGAGGUUAAGCAGGAGAUGCGGAGCCGCAGCGAAAGCGAGUCUGAAUAGGGCGCUAUAGUACGUAGGCGUAGACCCGAAACCGGGUGAUCUACCCCUGUGCAGGGUGAAGGUGAGGUAACACUUACUGGAGGCCCGAACUCGUGAGCGUUGAAAAGCUCUGGGAUGACGUGGGGGUAGGGGAGAAAUUCCAAUCGAACUCGGAGAUAGCUGGUUCUCCCCGAAAUAGCUUUAGGGCUAGCCUCGAGAUUUAAGCAUCAUGGAGGUAGAGCACUGAUUGGGUGCGGGGCCCGCCAAGGGUUACCAAGUCCAGUCAAACUCCGAAUGCCAUGGAUGUAUGCUCGGGAGUCAGACGGCGAGUGCUAAGAUCCGUCGUCAAGAGGGAAAGAGCCCAGAUCAUCAGCUAAGGUCCCCAAGUGUGUGUUAAGUGGGAAAGGAUGUGGAGUUGCGAAGACAACCAGGAUGUUGGCUUAGAAGCAGCCACCAUUUAAAGAGUGCGUAAUAGCUCACUGGUCGAGUGACUCUGCGCCGAAAAUGUAACGGGGCUAAACACACCACCGAAGCUAUGGCAUGUCGUAGUCUUCACUUCACGCUGGUGGCGUGUUUAGCUGGGCGCAUUUGGUCAGAAUCUUGGAACAACCUUUGCGGUUGAUUCUGACGAAAUGUCCCGGUUUUCCACCAGAACAAAGUGAAGACUACGACUUGGGUAGGGGAGCGUUGAAUGCGGGUUGAAGUCGGACCGAGAGGACCGGUGGACUGCAUUCAAGUGAGAAUGCCGGUAUGAGUAACGAAAAGACAGGUGAGAAUCCUGUCCGCCGAAAGCCUAAGGGUUCCUGAGGAAGGUUCGUCCGCUCAGGGUAAGUCGGGACCUAAGGCGAGGCCGAAAGGCGUAGUCGAAGGACAACAGGUUGAAAUUCCUGUACCACCGUAAUCCGUUAUGAGCGAUGGGGGGACGCAGGAGGGCAAGAACGCGAGCUGAUGGAAGUGCUCGUCCAAGCAGUAAGAGGGAUGUGUAGGCAAAUCCGCACAUCGUAACCUCAAGCUGUGAUGGGGAGGGAAAAUUACAGUACCGAAGGUUCCGUGCUCACGCUGCCGAGAAAAGCCUCUAGCCAGGAGAAGGUGCCCGUACCGCAAACCGACACAGGUAGGCGAGAAGAGAAUUCUAAGGCGCGCGGAAGAACUCUCGUUAAGGAACUCGGCAAAAUGACCCCGUAACUUCGGGAGAAGGGGUGCCUCGGUAGGGUGAAUAGCCCGAGGGGGCCGCAGUGAAUAGGCCCAAGCGACUGUUUAGCAAAAACACAGGUCUGUGCGAAGCCGUAAGGCGAAGUAUACGGGCUGACGCCUGCCCGGUGCUGGAAGGUUAAGGGGAGCGGUUAGGGGCAACCCGAAGCUGUGAACCGAAGCCCCAGUAAACGGCGGCCGUAACUAUAACGGUCCUAAGGUAGCGAAAUUCCUUGUCAGGUAAAUUCUGACCCGCACGAAUGGCGUAACGACUUGGGCGCUGUCUCAACGAGAGAUCCGGUGAAAUUUUAGUACCUGUGAAGAUGCAGGUUACCCGCGACGUGACGGAAAGACCCCAUGGAGCUUUACUGUAGCUUGAUAUUGAACUUGGGUACGGUCUGUACAGGAUAGGUGGGAGCCUAAGAAGCAGGAGCGCAAGCUUCUGUGGAGGCGCCGUUGGGAUACCACCCUGAUCGUAUCUAGGUUCUAACCUGUCACCGUGAAUCCGGUGAAGGGACCGUGUCAGGCGGACAGUUUGACUGGGGCGGUCGCCUCCUAAAGCGUAACGGAGGCGCCCCAAGGUUCCCUCAGAAUGGUUGGAAAUCAUUCGAAGAGUGCAAAGGCAUAAGGGAGCUUGACUGCGAGACCUACAAGUCGAGCAGGGACGAAAGUCGGGCUUAGUGAUCCGGUGGUACCGAAUGGAAGGGCCAUCGCUCAACGGAUAAAAGCUACCCUGGGGAUAACAGGCUUAUCUCCCCCAAGAGUCCACAUCGACGGGGAGGUUUGGCACCUCGAUGUCGGCUCAUCGCAUCCUGGGGCUGAAGUAGGUCCCAAGGGUUGGGCUGUUCGCCCAUUAAAGCGGUACGCGAGCUGGGUUCAGAACGUCGUGAGACAGUUCGGUCCCUAUCUGUCGCGGGCGUAGGAAAUUUGAGAGGGGCUGUCCUUAGUACGAGAGGACCGGGAUGGACGCACCGCUGGUGUACCAGUUGUUCCGCCAGGAGCAUCGCUGGGUAGCCAAGUGCGGGAGGGAUAAGCGCUGAAAGCAUCUAAGCGCGAAGCCCGCCUCAAGAUGAGAUUUCCCAAUUCGUAAGACCCCUGGAAGAACACCAGGUUGAUAGGCUCGGGGUGGAAGCAUGGCAACAUGUGCAGCUGACGAGUACUAAUCGGUCGAGGGCUUAUCCUACA